rnacentral:lncRNA from 1 species
AAAGACCUCAGACGACCAUGCAUGUGCACCAGAUAACUUAACAGGAACCGUCCGAUUGCCCCAAGGACAUCGGAUAAACCACUUACAACCAGAACCGCGGGAUUAAGUAACACAAAUCACACACCAACAUUUUUGCAGCGGAAAUCUUAUUACCAAAUUUUACAGGUUACAAAAAUUUUACAUUAUUUUAUCGGAGUGUCUAGAAAACUAUAGGUUUGAAAUAUAUGCUAGCUCAAGUGAUCAUCCUCAAUAAGAAGUAUAGAAGAGUUACUUAGACUUAUAAGAAGGCCGAGCCCACCGGCACUUAACACCAUCAUCAGCAGUACAAAGAUAUAACCUGAAAAACAAUAGGGAAUAAAACCCUGAGUAUGGAAUUACUCAGCAAGACUUACCCGACUAAAGAAAAGACUCUCAAGGGUAUGCUGGAUUUGGGAAUCAAGGAGAGGCUUUAGCAAGAAUCAACUUAGAUACUUUUGCAGAAAUAGCUUACUAAAGUGAGUCCUUACUUUCAAUAUUUUAACGCCGGAUUAAAUAUUAAUAGACUCUGUUUGCAUCUGGUCUAAUUUCACCAUCUCAUCAAUACAACAUCAUUUUUAUUCAUAAGGUUCACAUCCUGACUUAGGUUGCAGGGCAGCGAUCAAGUCUCCACUCUCCGGGGAUAUAACGGCGAUCCGAAUCGAUUUACUCAGCUGAGGAUCUCUAACCACACGACAUAUGUAGCACUUAACCCUUGCAUAUGUCAACCAUUCCCACGGAUCCUCCACUACAUGAACAGGUCCACACCACCCGAGAGCACACCACCCCUUUUAGGCGGUCCUUUGCCAGGAGGGUACGUGCCACUCUCGCCAUCUCUCCACUCCCAGUGCGCGAUUGUCUUUUCAUGUAUGGAAUAGCCGGGUUCAAGCUUACCCUGUCCCAUAUCCAGGGCAUGUGGCCAGAUAAGAUAGUCCUUGAUCAUACAGGCCUACAUACGCAUCCAAUCCUUAAUUGACCCAGACGGAACAUCACCUGUUCCUAGCCCAAGUCCCGAUUUAAGUACUUCCAUCCUUAGGAUUGUUUAUGUUCCUAGGAUGAAAAGAGCAUUAUAGGGAACUUUGCAGUAAGAUCCCACCAUGCUCCCAAUGAAAAUAUUCUUGCAGGUAGAAGCCGUCCUUCCUCAGGAUAACCCCUGAGCUAGGCAUUAACGCAAAGGACAACCUCUAUCCACAAGAUCUAAGCAGUGCUAAGCAUUUUUGUAAAUCAUAUUUUGAUACUUCACCAGAAGUAUCUAUAAAGGUAUGGAUAUCAAAGAAGGCAAUGCAUCAAAGGGUUCCAAGCAACUCCUAUAAACCUAAUGCACAUUUCACUAGACUUAAAGUGUGUAAAAUAUAUUUAAAAACACAAGGAAGGGGUUGCAUGCACCGGGGCUUGCCUGGGUAACACUAGGUUAGUGUUGUUAGAUGACGUCCACUUGACGACCAUCCUUGUUCUGAUACUUGUUUCGUCCAUCCAUCUUUAGAUUAGUUCAUCAGGUUUAUCCUGAGGAUUAGCCCGCGCUUGGGGUCGACUUGGCUUUAGUUCUUCGCAUCACGUGGUCAAUUAUCGCACCUAAAUGAUUUGCAUAAUGCACAUGAAUGCAUAGCACUGACUUCAUUCCACAACUAAAAUUCCUCGCAUAAAAUGUCGAUAGCGCCUACCGGCAAAGCACUAAAAUUACUAAACAAAUAAAUCUAGCUUACCAGCAUCAAACGUGACUCAAUACUUGCGAGUAUGCUGAUAAAUCCUGGCUCGAGCUUGUCGUUGAACAUCUGACGGUGUGGUGCGGCUUCACUUUCUUCUCCAUACCUUCCGGUGAUUUCUCUCAAACCAGCGACGAUCGACGAGGAUUGCGAACAUGACGAGAGGGUGAAAACUAUCUAUCACAAUAACUCUCUCUACCCCGCAAACAGCAUCUAAAACAGCCAUAUGAAGUAGUGUUGAGAUCUUCCGCCCCCAUGACCUAGAUGGGGCUGACCAAGAGGAGGCGAAACACGACGAGACGCGUAUCGGAAGAGUUACUGGGAUUAAAGAUGACGACACACAUCAAGGCGAGGCGACAUAUGGUGGUGAAAAAAUAGGAAUGAAUGACGACGAGAGACAGCACAGUUGCGUGGGACUUGGCGAUAACGGCGAGCUGGACCAUUGGUCAGCUCAACAGACACGACCAAUAAAAUUUACGAGCACACGCGAGCGAGCAGUUGAGUGACGGUGGCGAAGCUUGCUGGUUUAACACGGAAAGGAUCAACAAAGUCGACAGCCAAUCGGUGAACCAAAGAUUGGGAGUGACAGCCGAUGAAGAGCUUAUCUUUAAAGAGCCACGCGAGUGAAACUGAAAAUUAAUCCGACAGUGGUUCAGCGGCAACUGAUGGCCGGUAGAAGAACGUGGCUGCCCAGAGGAGCUGCAGGGAGGAACGGCGUGCUUAUCUACUGAAAGGAAAGGACCUCGGCUGGGAGAGGGAACUGGCUACCGGGCUUGCUUGAUACAAGAAGCCGAGGGCGAGCUCGGCAGGACGCAGAGAGGAGCGCUGUCGAGCAGAGAAAAUUAGCGCGCGCGGCAAUGG